UCAGCUUUUCACUCUGUUGUUUUGUUUCAAGUUGUACACUUUGUUUGUCUACCUUGUGGCUUCCUGUACGUUAGUUUUGGAUUCUUGGAACUUUAAAAAAAAAAAAAUCAAUAUUAUUAUCUCUCUUCACUGUGGAUUUGCCGCACUCAUAUUUAAGCUUUGGAGUUUUCCGCCAACAGCACGGGGUGGACCAGUGCGCAGGCCAAGAGGCGGGAGAACCAGACAUCGCCAGUUAACGUUUAAGGUGUCAGUACUAAGGAAUCCGACACUGACCCACUACCGAUCUCAUAGGGAUGCCACUCCUGCUACUCGGGUGGUCGUUCCUGUAAACCUCAAUGCCGCUGAAUUCAGGCAGGCACUACGGGACAAUAUUGCAGACAUACCUUUGCAGUUCGAUCUAUGCAAAGUGAAUGGACAGCGGCUCAUUCUUCCUCUUGAAGAGGAGACGCCCCAAGAAAUUAGAGCAAGAAACCUACUGGGUCGCUCCAAUCUUUAUAUCCGUCCAAAGAUUACAGAAGCCAAUGACGACUCAACUGGUGGAGAAGUGGUGCAGUCUGAAAUGGCAAUUGUGCUGCAUGACACAGAGACACCUGACCAUGGCAGGCACAAUGUACAGGAGCCAGAGGUUAUCAGUGGUCUGCAUGAAAACCAUACAGCUAAUUCUAGUAGGCCUGGUCUCCAGGAACCAGAGGUUAACAGGCAAGUGUUUUACAUCGACUCUGCAGAGUCAGAAGUAUCAGACCUGGAUGAGGCUGUCCUGGCUUCCC
ensembl:lncRNA